rnacentral:rRNA from 1 species
AUUGAACGCUGGCGGCAGGCUUAACACAUGCAAGUCGAACGAGUGGCGGACGGGUGAGUAAUGCUUGGGAAUCUAGCUUAUGUAGGGGGCUAACUACGGUAAACUGUAGCUACUACCGCGUACCCUAGGAUGAGCCCAAGUGGGAUUAGGUAGUUGGUGAGGUAAAGGCUCACCAAGCCGACGAUCGCUAGCUGGUCUGAGAGGAUGACCAGCAACACUGGGACUGAGACACGGCCCAGACUCCUACGGGAGGCAGCAGUGGGGAAUAUUGCGCAAUGGGGGCAACCUGACGCAGCCAUGCCGCGUGAAUGAAGAAGGCCUUCGGGUUGUAAAGUUCUUUCGGUAGCGAGGCGUUAACUACAGAAGAAGCACCGGCUAACUCCGUGCCAGCCGCCGCGGUAAUAC